GACGAACGCUGGCGGCGUGCUUAACACAUGCAAGUCGAACGGAAAGGCCCCCUUGUGGGGUACUCGAGUGGCGAACGGGUGCGUAACACGUGAGUAACCUACCCUUGACUUUGGGAUAACUUCAGGAAACUGGGGCUAAUACCGGAUAGGAGCUCCUGCUGCAUGGUGGGGGUUGGAAAGUUUCGGCGGUUGGGGAUGGACUCGCGGCUUAUCAGCUUGUUGGUGGGGUAGUGGCUCACCAAGGCUUUGACGGGUAGCCGGCCUGAGAGGGUGACCGGCCACAUUGGGACUGAGAUACGGCCCAGACUCCGGGAGGCAGCAGUGGGGAAUAUUGCACAAUGGGCGGAAGCCUGAUGCAGCAACGCCGCGUGCGGGAUGACGGCCUUCGGGUUGUAAACCGCUUUCGCCUGUGACGAAGCGUGAGUGACGGUAAUGGGUAAAGAAGCACCGGCUAACUACGUG
rnacentral:rRNA from 1 species